UACGAAGGGGGCUAGCGUUGUUCGGAAUUACUGGGCGUAAAGCGCGCGUAGGCGGGCAUUUAAGUCAGGGGUGAAAUCCCAGGGCUCAACCCUGGAACUGCCUUUGAUACUGGAUGCCUGGAGUUCGGGAGAGGUGAGUGGAAUUCCGAGUGUAGAGGUGAAAUUCGUAGAUAUUCGGAGGAACACCAGAAGCGAAGGCGGCUCACUGGCCCGAUACUGACGCUGAGGCGCGAAAGCGUGGGGAGCAAACAGG
rnacentral:rRNA from 1 species